rnacentral:lncRNA from 1 species
UCGCAAAGAGUCGGACACGACUGAGUGACUGAAAUGAACUGAACUGAACACCUCAAUAAACUGAAUUCCCUGAAAAAAUCCACAAAAAUGGAAAGGAUGAGUUAUGUGGUUUCAAAGAACAAAUAAAAAGCUGAAGCAUUAUGAUUCUGAAUUCAGAGAGGGAAAGAGAUCCAACACUCAAAGUGAAGACCUGAAAGGUAGGAGAAGAGUUGCAGGGGCAUGAGAGUUGUUGAUACCUGUGUACCAUUGUUACUGCAUGUGUGUGUGGCAUAAGGUGUUUCAGUGAACUUUCUGAGUGGCCCACACAACAGCAGCCAUAAAGUUUAUCUAUCCAUGAUCUACUGUGGUUAUUUCCUUGAAGUCCUAUCAUGUUGUCCAGGCUCAGCUUACAGGACUUCAGGGAGAAGACAAUUUAGUUCUCAGUGACUCAAAUUCAGAAGAGAAAAACAUUGAAAACAUUAAUUUGUAGAGAAGUAACCAGAUAUUGCAGGUCAUUAAAAGAAUUUAGCUUUUUUUCUAGACAUAAAUUAUGCGAGACUGAUUCCACAAGAGUACCUUCUAAUUUCCCUCUGAAACAUAUUUUUUUUUCUUUCUACUAUCAUCACCUAUUCUAAGAGAGAGAAUUGGAGUCAGACAAACUUGUUUGCAAAANNNNNNNNNNNNNAAAUUUGGUCUGUUUAUUUAAAUAAUUACAGUGAAUUUAUUGGUAGCCCACUAAGUUUCUUGAGUUUAUUUUGUUGGAACUUUUUGGGAAUCUCAGAUUAGACUUUCCAAUAUCAACCUCAACCUUAGGGUAGAAAUCUAAGAUCUUGUUAGAUUUUGCUUGCAAUACAUGUAGAUCGGAUAAAAGGCUCUCUAUCUGUUUUUCAAAAUAUCCUGAGGUACAUGGGUCUUCCAAAAGAGCACCUUUUCCAAUUAAUCAUAAUGCACAGUACAUUUUAUUUUUCAAUGUUUAUCUCAAAUAAAGAUAAUUUUUAAAAAUUGAUUUGUUUCCAUAUGUCUGAUAAUUUUAAAAACAGUUGAUAUGUAUUAUUGUUUGUAUCUAAGCCAAUUUGAAUAGAACUCCUAUCAGUGGUUUUAUAAAUUGACUUAGUAAUAGCAUCCAGACAUAGAAUAUGUCACAUAUAACUAAUG